ACUCCUACGGGAGGCAGCAGUGGGGAAUAUUGCACAAUGGGCGCAAGCCUGAUGCAGCAACGCCGCGUGAGCGAUGAAGGCCUUCGGGUCGUAAAGCUCUGUCCUCAAGGAAGAAUAAAUGACGGUACUUGAGGAGGAAGCCCCGGCUAACUACGUGCCAGCAGCCGCGGUAAUACGUAGGGGGCAAGCGUUAUCCGGAAUCACUGGGCGUAAAGGGUGCGUAGGCGGUUUUUCAAGUCAGAAGUGAAAGGCUAUGGCUCAACCAUAGUAAGCUUUUGAAACUGUUAAACUUGAGUGCAGGAGAGGAAAGUGGAAUUCCUAGUGUAGAGGUGAAAUUCGUAGAUAUUAGGAGGAACACCAGUGGCGAAGGCGACUUUCUGGACUGUAACUGACGCUGAUGCACGAAAGCGUGGGUAGCGAACAGGAUUAGAUACCCUGGUAGCACAGGAG
rnacentral:rRNA from 1 species